CCUACGGGAGGCAGCAGUGAGGAAUAUUGGUCAAUGGACGAGAGUCUGAACCAGCCAAGUAGCGUGAAGGAUGACUGCCCUAUGGGUUGUAAACUUCUUUUAUAUGGGAAUAAAAUGUUCCACGUGUGGGAUUUUGUAUGUACCAUAUGAACAAGGAUCGGCUAACUCCGUGCCAGCAGCCGCGGUAAUACGGAGGAUUCGAGCGUUAUCCGGAUUUAUUGGGUGUAAAGGGAGCGUAGGUGGAUUGUUAAGUCGGGUGUGAAAGUUUGCGGCUCAACCGUAAAAUUGCAGUUGAAACUGGCAGUCUUGAGUACAGGAGAGGUGGGCGGAAUUCGUGGUGUAGCGGUGAAAUGCUUAGAUAUCACGAAGAACUCCGAUUGCGAAGGCAGUUCACUGGACUGCAACUGACACUGAGGCUCGAAAGUGUGGGUAUCAAACAGGAUUAGAUACCCUUGUAGUC
rnacentral:rRNA from 1 species